ensembl:snRNA U1 U1 spliceosomal RNA
AUACUUACCUGGCAGGGGCAAUACCAUGAUCACAAAGGUGGUUUACCCAGGGCGAGGCUCUGCCAUAGCACUUGGGUGGUGCUGACCCUUGCGAAUUCCCCAAAUGUGGGAAUCUCGACUGCUUGGGGGC